AAAGUCGUAACAAGGUUUUCCGUAGGUGAACCUGCGGAAGGAUCAUUAUUGAAUAUUCUUGAUAGGUUGUAGCUGGCUCUUAGGAGCAUGUGCACGCUUGUCUUGAUUUUAUUCAUCCACCUGUGCACCUUUUGUAGUCUUGGGGGUUGAGAGCGGUCAACUAUCGGAUGCCUAUUGGUUAUUCCGGAUGUGGGGAAUGCUGAGUGCGCAAGCAUACAGCUUUUCUCAAAGUGACUUGCAAACUUCUCCUUCAAGUCUAUGUAUUCAUAUACCACAUAGUAUGUUGUAGAAUGUGAUCAAUGGGCCUUUGUGCCUAUAACAAUCAUAUACAACUUUCAGCAACGGAUCUCUUGGCUCUCGCAUCGAUGAAGAACGCAGCGAAAUGCGAUAAGUAAUGUGAAUUGCAGAAUUCAGUGAAUCAUCGAAUCUUUGAACGCACCUUGCGCUCCUUGGUAUUCCGAGGAGCAUGCCUGUUUGAGUGUCAUUAAAUUCUCAACCCUUAUAACUUUUGUGAGCUAUUAGGGCUUGGAAAUGGGAGUUUGCGGGCCUUAUAGAGGUCAGCUCUCCUGAAAUGCAUUAGCGGAACUGUUUGCAGUCCCGU
rnacentral:misc_RNA from 1 species